UCAUCACCAUUUCACCACUUCCCGUCGCCAUUCCCCUCCAUCCCUGCCUCCGUCGCCGUCCAUCUCCCUCGCCGCCUCCGUCGCCUGUCCUGGUGUCUGCUCCCCCUCCAGCGCCAUCGCCUUCUCCGCUCCCUCACUGCCCUCGCCGCCUUCUCCCCCGCCAGCGCCCCUCCAUCGACGUCCGCCUCCCCGCCUCCCCCGCUAUCGGCGGCUUCCCUCCGUCGAAGCCCUUCCUCGUCGCCCUCGCCGCCUUCUCCUCCGUCCGCGUCUCCGCGCCGGCUUGUAAGCCCCCACCAUCGCCGUCCUCCUCCCCCGCCCCCUUCUCCACCGCCCCUCCACCCGCCUCCACCGGCUCGCGAUGAGCCCUCUUCGCCGCGUCGCCUCCCCCCGCCACCGCCGCCACGUUUUCCUCCCCAUGGACCGCCGCCCCCUUCUCCACUCCACCGCUGUCACCAUCGACCUAGCCGCCGUCGCGGCUCUCCCCUCCCCAUCAUCCCCCGCCCCCUUCUCUGUGGACAUCGACCUAGCCGCCGUCGCGGUUCACCCCUCCUCAUCAACCGCCGCCCCCUUCUCCACCAUGCCGGUACCGCUGGUGUCCACCUGCAUCCGCCGCUCACGUCGUUCUCCUCCGCGCCACUAGCAAUCCCGCGUUGAUCUCCUCCAAGUCUCCCUCUAGCAACCUCCUCCUUGGCUAGUGGGUCAGUUUGCAAGAUGGUGGCAUGCGCGAAGGGGAUCCGCAUGCCGGCGAAGGGGUUAUCGGUGUUCAGGUGCGACGUUGAAGUAGAUGCACGUCGGUGACGUCGACAGCUUACUGCAUUGAGUCACCCCGAAGCGUAAGGUUUCAUAUACCGCUCCUUCUCAAAUGGAUUCAAAUAUGAACUAUAAAUAUUAUCUCAAAAAGGCAUCAAUGUUUGGGAUCCGUCAAAUACUCAAGUAGUAUCUAAAUGAUUUAAUAAGGGGAAGAGAGCAUAGUAAGGUAAUUGUGGUAAAUGUUCGACAGAUAAUCCAUUUAUGUCGUGGUUGGUAGUAGUGGACGAUCUUUAAUCUUGCUCAGUUCGGAGUUGAUCAAAAUUCCGGCUAAGUCCUGUCGAAAUGUUUUCACAUCCUUCUGCAUAAUGUAAAGGGAGUGCAUUUUAAAUCGUUUUUCGAAAUGGGAAGCACUGGUGCAAAAUAUGAAUAGAGGUCGUUGUAGUUGCCUGUAUUUGAAUUCCUGGGAGAUAAGAUUCGCUCCAAUGCUCCAUGAACUUAAGGGUGUACAGGCCACACGAGACGCUACAAGAAUUUAGUCGUUAGGCUAACACGUUUCCGUAAUUGAAUAAUGUGAAUAUCAUGUGGAAGAGUUUGAGUCACCCACCCAUCUCCUUGCUUUGGCAAUUUUUGGACUUUGUUGUAUUCCCAUUCGGUAAUAUUGAAACCAGGCCAAUCAUGUUUUAACUGUGGGUGUUGAUUCUCUGUCCCGUGUAAUCCCCUCUCGAUAGCUAGCAGCUGGGAAGUUUUGUGCAACGUUGGUACGGUAAAAACAUAGCAAAACCGAUUUGAAUUAUACAAGUGGAAGUGUAUCGCUUACCACACGCCUUAGAUCGGGUCGAUCUUUACUGAUUGGCUUUGCGAGCGAAUAUAGUAUUUGCACCUCACGUCGCUUGGCGUUAAGAACGGCUAGGUACCAGUGUGUAUCUUUAAUAUUAAUUAGGAGGAAAAUCUGCAGAUGUUCAACAGUAAGAUAGAGUCAUAAAUUGAAUUAGCCAUUACAUAGAUAGCUUAAAUAAGUAUUACCAUGUCAAAUGCUAGAUAGUCGCGUGCCAUAUCUCUAAUCCAUCGUUUAUCUCGAGGUUUGCUUGCUUCGACAUGCGCUCCCUCUACAUUUAGUAGACCUGUUUUAAUGGCCAUCUCUAGGAAGGCCUUGCCAUCUCCCCUGAUUCCUUUCUCAUUAUAGCGGAGGCAUUGGAUGUAUGCAUUCAUGACCUGAAUUUGAGGUUAGUUGAGUUACAUAACAAAUAUAAUUAUAAAAGAAUAGUAGGCUUGUUAAAUAGGCGAACUUACAUCAUCAUUUAAGAAUUCUGGUUGUGUUAGUACAUUCAUUCUUAUCCGUUUAACCUCCACUUCUUCAAUAUGCACCAUCACUUUGUUAUCCUCCGUAUUAUUAAUGUAGGUAAUGAAAGGGUCUUUUUUUUAGUCAACUCUACGAAGGUAGGACAAAUUAGUAAUAGAUCUGUAGAAAUGUUAAAUGGUUAGGCAUUACCUUCUGAAUUUUUUAAUGGUGUCUGGCCAUUCAUUUUUUUCUUCUUUUGACCUCGUAAGGCGUUCUUUGGUGGGCCUUUGUCUAUGAUUUUUUGGUAAGAUCUUCCUUCUCGAUGUACACUAGAAAAGGGUAAGUCAAAUCAGUAACACACAAACAUAGAAUAUAAGUAAAAAAUUAUGGAUGAUGUAGAGAGUUCAUACAUUCAGAUAUUUCAUUCGGUGUUUGGUUGUUUUGUUUCCUCUUCUUUUCACCCCGUAAUUCGUCUGUGUCUGGCAUGUUAGCUUCUUUAUCCGUUUGCGCUUGAAAAGGAGGAAAGUUAGUACCAUUGACAUGAGCAUAUGUAACUAUUAAAUAGCAUAAUACCUAUUGUUUUCUUUGUCUGUGCUUGGGUUCUGAUUAUGUCCUUCUUUUUACCCCUUGUUUCGUAGAUGAAGUCAGUCCGAUUAGUCAGUUUGUAUGUUCUUCCUGUAGGACCUGUAAGCCUCUUCCUGCUUUGAUUGCUCUGGUUACUGUUGUCCUGUUAGGUAACAAAGUGCACGUUAGUAUUAUGAUAAGUUGUAGAAACGUUAGCGAGAGAAUUAAAAUUCAGUUUACCUUCGUUUCACAAGUCAUGUUUACAUUUUGGUUUAUAUAGGACUCUUCGUUAUGAUUUGAUACAUGCUACCUGGGAUCAAUUUGUUCUUGUUCAACAUCCUACAAUAGCGUCAACCUUUUUUUAGCGGUGUUACGUAAGUAAUAAUGAUUAAUAGUCUAGCUUAUCAUCUUUACCUCAAACACAUGCGUAGUAUCUUUUCGUUCUAGGCAUUUUGAAUCAUUUUCCAUGCAAUCUAGUAUCAAUGAUCGCAUACGUGGCCAAAAAUCCUUUGUGAAAUCGUUGAAAUUAUCUUGUAAAGUUUGGAUACUUUCUUGUAAAGUGAUAUCGGCUGAUUGUUCAGUGGAUGUUGUAGAGUGUACUUGAAUAGCACAAGUGAGAAAAGGAUGUCAAACAUAUUUUGUUAAAUAGAGUUCGUAUUAAAACCCCAUAAUAUAUACCUCUUCAAAAGUGCAUAGAAAAUCUUCAUUGGUACGUGCUUCGAGUAUAUCGCUCCAAUAUUUCCGUUUUUCCGUUUUUUAUAGAUAUAUUCUUGCACGGUUCAAAAUGACAGUAGAGUAUAUCGUUCCGCUAUUUUUCCAUUUUUCCGUUUUUUGUUUACAGAUAAAAGGAUGGACAGGUACCGAUCUCAUUUACAUUCUUCAUAAUCUCCUUUCUCCCCAAUCUCAUCUUCCUCCGUGUGCAUCUCUUACUUCGUCAACCUCAUCUUCCUCCGUGAUUGCAAUAUGUCUGGUUCCUCGGUAUAUCCCGAAGCAGAUUCCGCCGUUCAGCUUGAUGAUUUAACAUGUGGCGAUGAAAAUAUGUUAGCCAUGUCUAAUGUUCUAAAGAACAAAAAAUCUGCAAGGCUCAAAAACCUUGUGUUGGCUAGAAAUUCAUUUUCCAUAACUGUAUACAACAUAAAUACUUUGUCAAAUCUUGUUUAUGUUGGAAGGGUACAAAUAACUGUGGAUGGUGAUGGCCGUCAUAUUGUAUACCCAAGGAAUGCACCAACGGCAGAAGACAUAGCUAGUGGAAAGGUAAAAAACAUCCAUUUUAUAAUGAGGACGGAUUUUAGGGACUGGCAGAUGAUGAAAGAUGUGGUUGUGGAUGGCGAAGAGCUAAUGCACAACCCUCAGCUCACCACACAUGGCACCAAUGCCAGCAAUACGUCACAGGAUGAGGAGGCGGCGGCCACCACCACGUGUGAGAAAAUGGAGAUGCGGGAGGCUCACCACAAGUUGAACCGUAGUCUCUUCCAAGACGAUGACAAAUAAUUACAUUCACUUUUUUUUUACGAGAAACAGCAUGAGAGGCUCCUACUGUGAUAUAUUAAGAAAUAUAAGGAGUUUAUAUACAUCAAGGGAAAAAUAAAAAAAGUAAAAAUUAAAAUAAAAAUAAUUACAAAGGAACUAAUAACAAGAGUCUAGCCAUGAUUGAAA